GGACCCUCCCCCGCCACGCCCCCACCUGGUGCGCUUCCAAAGGAAGCUCUGGGCCAUUGCCUGGGCUCAUGGUUUUGCCUUCCCCACAGCGAUCGAUCGGCCCGGGAAAGGGGUGUUUGGUGGAUUCCUUAUAAGCACGUUAAAGAAUUAAAACUUUAUCACAAAGUCACCACAAAGACGUGGAAAAUACAAGUUAGUAAAAUUACCCACAGCGGUGCUACUCAGCAGUCAACUCUACUAACCUUCGGCCAUAAGAGUUUCUAAUGGAGGUUGUAUAAUGUUAAGGGUCAAAGAGAAGAUGCAGCAGGAUCGCCCCAAAAGAAACAGUUCAGAACACAGACCUACAGAUCAUACUUUUGCAGCCCCUCCACCUAAAGAGGUAGAGAGAGAAGCAGUGAGGACCACCACUCAGAAGUAGACCUCUCUCCGACUCCUGCGGCAGGCCUGGGGGUGAGGAGAAGGCCUUCCGAAGCCACUGUAGAAAAACUGUAUUGCUCUUCAUCUGCUCACCGAGGACGUGUCUGCCUUUGUGGUAAAGAUGAUUUGGCCUGUGUGGAAGAUCUAUAGCAAAGACCCAGUAGCCACUCCUUCUCCAGACAGCACUCUCAGCCACAAAAGAAUAAAUUCCCCACAUUCCAGACCCAUGUGGAAAUUGUUGUUCACAUCUGUUCACAUCCUCCAAAGUGGCUCUGCUGGAAUCCCCUGAACCAGUGAGCGCCCCC